rnacentral:rRNA from 1 species
GAUGAACGCUGGCGGCGUGCCUAAUACAUGCAAGUCGAGCGAACGGACGAGAAGCUUGCUUCUCUGAUGUUAGCGGCGGACGGGUGAGUAACACGGGGAUAACCUACCUAUAAGACUGGGAUAACUUCGGGAAACCGGAGCUAAUACCGGAUAAUAUUUUGAACCGCAUGGUUCAAAAGUGAAAGACGGUCUUGCUGUCACUUAUAGAUGGAUCCGCGCUGCAUUAGCUAGUUGGUAAGGUAACGGCUUACCAAGGCAACGAUGCAUAGCCGACCUGAGAGGGUGAUCGGCCACACUGGAACUGGGACACGGUCCAGACUCCUACGGGAGGCAGCAGUCGGGAAUCUUCCGCAAUGGGCGAAAGCCUGACGGAGCAACGCCGCGUGAGUGAUGACGGUCUUCGGAUCGUAAAACUCUGUUAUUAGGGAAGAACAUAUGUGUAAGUAACUGUGCACAUCUUGACGGUACCUAAUCAGAAAGCCACGGCUAACUACGUG